rnacentral:pre_miRNA from 1 species
UUCCUACUCCCUCCGUUCGGAAAUACUUGUCAUCAAAAUGGAUAAAAGGGGAUGUAUCUAGAUGUAUUUUAGUUCUAGAUACAUCUCUUUUUAUUCAUUUUGAUGACAAGUAUUCUCGGACGGAGGGAGUAUAUA